UACGUAGGGUGCAAGCGUUGUCCGGAAUUAUUGGGCGUAAAGAGCUCGUAGGCGGUUUGUUGCGUCGGCUGUGAAAUCCCGAGGCUCAACCUCGGGUCUGCAGUCGAUACGAGCAAACUAGAGUGUUGCAGGGGAGACUGGAAUUCCUGGUGUAGCGGUGAAAUGCGCAGAUAUCAGGAGGAACACCGAUGGCGAAGGCAGGUCUCUGGGCCGAAAACUGACGCUGGAGGAGCGAAAAGCGUGGGGAGCAAACAGG
rnacentral:rRNA from 1 species